GACGAACGCUGGCGGCGUGCUUAACACAUGCAAGUCGAACGGAAAGGCCCUGCUUUUGUGGGGUGCUCGAGUGGCGAACGGGUGAGUAACACGUGAGUAACCUGCCCUUGACUUUGGGAUAACUUCAGGAAACUGGGGCUAAUACCGGAUAGGAGCUCCUGCUGCAUGGUGGGGGUUGGAAAGUUUCGGCGGUUGGGGAUGGACUCGCGGCUUAUCAGCUUGUUGGUGGGGUAGUGGCUUACCAAGGCUUUGACGGGUAGCCGGCCUGAGAGGGUGACCGGCCACAUUGGGACUGAGAUACGGCCCGGACUCCUACGGGAGGCAGCAGUGGGGAAUAUUGCACAAUGGGCGGAAGCCUGAUGCAGCAACGCCGCGUGCGGGAUGACGGCCUUCGGGUUGUAAACCGCUUUCGCCUGUGACGAAGCGUGAGUGACGGUAAUGGGUAAAGAAGCACCGGCUAACUACGUGCCAGCAGCCGCGGUGAUACGUAGGGUGCGAGCGUUGUCCGGAUUUAUUGGGCGUAAAGGGCUCGUAGGUGGUUGAUCGCGUCGGAAGUGUAAUCUUGGGGCUUAACCCUGAGCGUGCUUUCGAUACGGGUUGACUUGAGGAAGGUAGGGGAGAAUGGAAUUCCUGGUGGAGCGGUGGAAUGCGCAGAUAUCAGGAGGAACACCAGUGGCGAAGGCGGUUCUCUGGGCCUUUCCUGACGCUGAGGAGCGAAAGCGUGGGGAGCGAACAGGCUUAGAUACCCUGGUAGUCCACGCUGUAAACGGUGGGUACUAGGUGUGGGGUCCAUUCCACGGGUUCCGUGCCGUAGCUAACGCUUUAAGUACCCCGCCUGGGGAGUACGGCCGCAAGGCUAAAACUCAAAGGAAUUGACGGGGCCCCGCACAAGCGGCGGAGCAUGCGGAUUAAUUCGAUGCAACGCGUAGAACCUUACCUGGGUUUGACAUGGAUCGGGAGUGCUCAGAGAUGGGUGUGCCUCUUUUGGGGUCGGUUCACAGGUGGUGCAUGGCUGUCGUCAGCUCGUGUCGUGAGAUGUUGGGUUAAGUCCCGCAACGAGCGCAACCCUUGUUCACUGUUGCCAGCACGUUAUGGUGGGGGCUCAGUGGAGACCGCCGGGGUCAACUCGGAGGAAGGUGGGGAUGACGUCAAGUCAUCAUGCCCCUUAUGUCCAGGGCUUCACGCAUGCUACAAUGGCUGGUACAGAGAGUGGCGAGCCUGUGAGGGUGAGCGAAUCUCGGAAAGUCGGUCUCAGUUCGGAUUGGGGUCUGCAACUCGACCUCAUGAAGUCGGAGUCGCUAGUAAUCGCAGAUCAGCAACGCUGCGGUGAAUACGUUCCCGGGGAA
rnacentral:rRNA from 1 species